rnacentral:sRNA from 1 species
AAGAGCUCUAACUUUUUGAUUCUUUUGC